AAAUCCAAUGGCUGCAGUAACCAUAACUGUAACAAUGUAGCACAAUCAAUCGUCACUUAAUUGGUGAAUAGUAUGAAUGGCUGUACGAAAAUCUCACUGUCUCAUAGUAUAAUAAAAAGAAAUUAAAACAACAGUAAAGAUGUGUUUAAAAUUGUAAGACGAGAAGACCCUAUAAAGCUUAACUAUUAAAUUUAAACUAAUUAAAGUAGUUUAAAAAAAGAUAGUUUCAUUGGGGCGAUGGUUUUUUAUAUAAAACAAAAACAAAACAAAAAACAAUUUAAUAAAAAAAAAAUUUUACUGUACAACUUAUAAGUUUAACAGUUACAAAGUAGGUUAAAAACGACCCAUUAACCCCCUAAAAAAAGGUUAAUGACUAAUAAAUAAAAGCUACUUUAGGGAUAACAGGAUAAUUUUAUCAAGAAGUCCGCAUUCAAAAUAAAGUUUAUUACCUCGAUGUUGAAUUGAGAUAUCCUAGAGGUGUAGC
rnacentral:rRNA from 1 species